CAAAGGUGACACUUAAGCUGCGUCCCAUUCCGUCUGUCCUCCAGCCCUGCUAAAUAUGUUUCUAAAGCGCCAUGUCCUAGAGGAACAGCAUCCCCUGACCUCAUUUCAAGAAGAUCAAGAAGACGACACUAGGAGGAGACAUUUGAGUGACAAGACCUUGCUUUCAGACUCCACAGUGGGGUCCUGGUGCCUGGAAUAAACAAAAGCAGAGAAAAGGAAUGGGAACCAGCGUUGAGGGCCAGAGGACUGCAUCCGAGGGUCGGGGUUGGUGGAGGUGGGUAGCUAGGACCCCUCCUUCGCUUCAACAAACACCAAGGCACCCUUCUGAAGCCUGGCUCUCUAGGUCUCUGGAUUUUGCUUGGAAGAGCCUGCUAAGGUCUGCAGCGCAGGAAGCCCCCGUGGUACCAACAGGAUCCCUUAGUGUGCACCGGGGCAGGCAGAGGCCUGCCGCUGUACACCACCCAGGCUGGCCUCAACCCCUGUGCCACCAUGUCUGGCACUGUUUUGGCCUAAAGGAGGGGUCCAUCAGCAUCCAAUCACAUACAGUGCCUGUCGAAUCUGGAGAGUGGGACUGAACUUUCUUGUGUUUGAGAAGGCUUUAGAGUGUAGAAAAAAAAUCUCCACACGGACCUAUCCGUUGGUAUUGAGUACUGAUAGCUGCCAAGGUUGGCAAUUAGAAAAGACAAAAACAGCUUGAAUCAGGAAACCAAAGAGGCAUCCAGUCUUUUAAGACGCAAGGACUUCCUUGCUCUAAAUUUCUCCCAGGGUUCCACAAAAGACGAUGCUUGGAUUUUUCUUUUGACU
rnacentral:lncRNA from 1 species